rnacentral:rRNA from 1 species
GAUGAACGCUGGCGGCGUGCCUAAUACAUGCAAGUCGAGCGAAGAGACGAGGAGCUUGCUCCUCUGACGUUAGCGGCGGACGGGUGAGUAACACGUGGAUAACCUACCUAUAAGACUGGGAUAACUUCGGGAAACCGGAGCUAAUACCGGAUAAUAUAUUGAACCGCAUGGUUCAAUAGUGAAAGACGGAUUUUCUGUCACUUAUAGAUGGAUCCGCGCCGCAUUAGCUAGUUGGUAAGGUAACGGCUUACCAAGGCAACGACGCGUAGCCGACCUGAGAGGGGGGUUGGCCCACACAGAAGCUGGGAAACGGCCCGGAGACUUCGGGGGGGCGCAGUAGGGAAGUAUACGGAAUGGGGGGAAAGCGUACGGAGCAACGGCGCCGUGGGUGAGAUGGGUCUCGGCGUGUUAAAACCCUGUUUUAGGGAAGAACAAAUGUGUAAGUAACUAUGCACGUCUUGACGGUACCUAAUCAGAAAGCCACGGCUAACUACGUG